rnacentral:lncRNA from 1 species
CAAGGCUCCAUCUUAUGUGUACAAAUCCCCACCGCCUCCAUCUCCUUCACCACCACCUCCUUAUGUAUACAAGUCACCACCUCCACCAUCCCCAUCACCACCACCUCCUUAUGUAUACAAGUCACCACCUCCACCAUCCUCAUCACCUCCUCCUCCAUACAUUUACAAGUCUCCACCACCACCACCAUAUGAACACAAGGCUCCAUCAUAUGUGUACAAGUCACCACCUCCCCCAUCUCCAUCACCACCACCUCCUUAUGUGUACAAGUCACCACCUCCACCACCAUAUGUGUACAAGUCACCACCUCCUCCAUCUCCAUCACCCCCACCACCAUACUAUUACAAGAGUCCUCCACCACCCUCUCCCUCGCCUCCACCUCCUUACUACUACAAAUCUCCUCCACCACCCUCACCUUCACCUCCACCUCCUUACUACUACAAUCUCCAUCACCCCCACCACCAUACUAUUACAAGAGUCCUCCACCACCCUCUCCCUCGCCUCCACCUCCUUACUACUACAAAUCUCCUCCACCACCCUCACCUUCACCUCCACCUCCUUACUACUACAAAUCUCCUCCACCACCCUCACCUUCACCUCCCCCACCAUACUAUUACAAGUCUCCACCACCAC